rnacentral:rRNA from 1 species
GACGAACGCUGGCGGCGUGCUUAACACAUGCAAGUCGAACGGAAAGGCCCUGCUUUUGUGGUGUUCUCGAGUGGCGAACGGGUGAGUAACACGUGAGUAACCUGCCCUUGACUUUGGGAUAACUUCAGGAAACUGGGGCUAAUACCGGAUAGGAGCUCCUGCUGCAGGGUGGGGGUUGGAAAGUUUCGGCGGUUGGGAAUGGACUCGCGGCUUAUCAGCUUGUUGGUGGGGUAGUGGCUUACCAAGGCAUUGACGGGUAGCCGGCCUGAGAGGGUGACCGGCCACAUUGGGCCUGAGAUACGGCCCAGACUCCUACGGGAGGCAGCAGGGGGGAAUUUUGCACAAUGGGCGGAAGCCUGAUGCAGCAACGCGGCGUGCGGGAUGACGGCUUUCGGGUUGUAACCCGCUUCCGCCUGUGACGAAGCGUUAGUGACGGUAAUGGGUUAAGAAGCACCGGCUAACUACGUG